GGGGAAUAUUGCGCAAUGGGCGAAAGCCUGACGCAGCCAUACCGCGUGUGUGAAGAAGGCCUUCGGGUUGUAAAGCACUUUCAGUGGGGAGGAAAAGCUGGUGGCUAAUAUCCAUCGGCCGUGACGCUACCCACAGAAGAAGCACCGGCUAAUUCCGUGCCAGCAGCCGCGGUAAUACGGAAGGUGCGAGCGUUAAUCGGAAUUACUGGGCGUAAAGCGCACGUAGGUGGCUUGGUAAGUCGGAUGUGAAAGCCCCGGGCUCAACCUGGGAACGGCAUUCGAUACUGCUGAGCUAGAGUACGAAAGAGGGGGGUGGAAUUCCAGGUGUAGCGGUGAAAUGCGUAGAGAUCUGGAGGAACACCGGUGGCGAAGGCGGCCCCCUGGUUCGAUACUGACGCUGAGGUGCGAAAGCGUGGGGAGCAAAC
rnacentral:rRNA from 1 species